rnacentral:rRNA from 1 species
UACGGAGGGUGCAAGCGUUAUCCGGAUUCACUGGGUUUAAAGGGUGCGUAGGUGGGGCUGUAAGUCAGUGGUGAAAUCUCCAAGCUUAACUUGGAACUGCCGUUGAUACUAUAGCUCUUGAAUGUUGUGGAGGUGAGCGGAAUAUGUCAUGUAGCGGUGAAAUGCUUAGAUAUGACAUAGAACACCAAUUGCGAAGGCAGCUCACUACACAAAUAUUGACACUGAGGCACGAAAGCGUGGGGAUCAAACAGGA